CCACUGUCUGCCAUGAACCCGUGCAUGUCCUGCCAGCCCCGCCCUCUAAAAGUUAUCCAGCAUCUGCCUUCUCUGCUCCACAACGAGCGCGUCUUUAUACACUAUUCGAACCUUGACCUUUGUCCUUGUGGUGAACUCUGACCUCUGAGCUCAACGUGAUGAAGUGUGAUGUACUGUCCCUCCCUUUAGGUCUAAACAUGCCAUACUUUCUGUACUUUAUAGCGACAUAUGAGGGUGUUUUUUUUAUAUAUAUAUAUAUAUAGUCUGAGAAAAGGAUAAAACUAACUUUUAUCAGUCUUUUUCCGUAUGUAUGGAGGGACGCCGUACGGUUUUGUGGGGGUUUUUAACAUUCACCACUGUUUUAACAAUACCCCAUUUUAUACGAAACCAGUAUUGUUUGUUUGAUUUCUGACAUCGUAACAACCCUUUCAGGUGCUACAAAAUGACCAGUUACUGCUAAGUCACGUAGGAGUUAGACUACCCUUCAAUGUAAACUAUAGAUUCCAAACCAGAUGUGCAGAACCAAGCUUAUUUUAACUUACAGUUUAAUAGUAGAAGACUUAUUCUACCCAACAAUAGAGCAUGUAACCAGAUUUGAUCACUUCUGUUGAACUGUAACCAGACAUCAAUGGUGUUGUAGGUUUAAAAAAAUGUGGAAUUGACAAAAAAAAUAACUAAAUUCCACAGUUAAUUUAUUCAUUUUUUCUAUUAAGAAUUUGUAUAGUAACUUUACAUUUUUCAAAACUGUGUUGUUGGCAACUGAUAAUGAAUUUUCCAGAUGAGAAGACUUGGUGGUUCUUGAGAUUAUGAAAAUAAAUUAUUGCUGAAUGUUCUCAAUAUGACAGAUGUAAUUAUUUUCUGUGUGUGUGCGUGUGUGUUUGUCUCAGGGGUGUGUGUGCACCGGUGGUCACUUGAGUAAUCCUGCUCUCCAGGUGAUCCUGCGUCAUUCAUCGUCACUUCGACCAACCCCCUUCGCUCGUUACUCAUUACUGACUCAUUCUUUGAAAUGC
ensembl:lncRNA